UUCCUCUCUGCACACACCCCAUGUCUCACCACAAUGAUGGAGUUACAGUGGGACUUGGAAUCCAGAUGUGUGAAGGAUGGAGGGGUUGAAGCCGCACUCAGCUUCCUGCCCCACCAGAGGAAGUGGGGAGAGACAGCAGGUACAGUGAUGGCUGGCGGAGUCAUGGACAAGGAGUACGUGGGUUUUGCUGCCCUCCCCAGCCAGCUGCACCGCAAGUCUGUCAAGAAGGGGUUUGACUUCACACUAAUGGUGGCAGGAGAGUCAGGCCUAGGGAAAUCCACCCUCAUCAACAGCCUCUUCCUCACCAACCUCUAUGAGGAUCGCCAGGUGCCAGAGGCCAGUGCUCGCUUGACACAGACCCUGGCCAUUGAGCGCCGGGGUGUGGAGAUCGAGGAAGGGGGUGUGAAAGUGAAGCUAACCCUUGUAGACACACCUGGCUUUGGAGACUCAGUGGACUGCUCUGACUGCUGGCUUCCCGUGGUGAAAUUCAUCGAGGAGCAGUUUGAGCAGUACCUUAGGGAUGAGAGUGGCCUGAACCGGAAGAACAUCCAGGACUCCCGAGUCCACUGCUGCCUCUACUUCAUCUCACCCUUUGGCCGGGGGCUCCGGCCCCUAGACGUGGCCUUCCUCCGGGCAGUACACGAGAAAGUCAACAUCAUCCCAGUCAUUGGCAAAGCGGAUGCCCUGAUGCCCCAGGAAACCCAGGCCCUCAAGCAGAAGAUCCGGGAUCAGUUGAAGGAGGAGGAGAUCCACAUCUACCAGUUCCCUGAAUGUGACUCUGACGAAGAUGAAGACUUCAAGAGGCAGGAUGCAGAGAUGAAGGAAAGCAUCCCUUUUGCAGUCGUGGGUUCAUGCGAGGUGGUGAGGGAUGGCGGGAACCGACCGACCGCGGACCCUCCGCUAGAGUGGCAGCAGGACUUUCCUGUUGACCCGACCCUACGGGUCAACGGGUGGGACCCGAAACUCCCUGACGUUCGCUGGUCCGCGCCGACCCCCCUCCAGUGGAGAACCCACAUCACUGCGAUUUCCUGAACCUGCGACGGAUGCUAGUGCAGACACACCUGCAGGACCUGAAAGAGGUGACGCACGAUCUGCUCUACGAGGGCUACCGGGCCCGCUGCCUACAGAGCCUGGCCCGGCCUGGAGCUCGCGAUCGAGCCAGCCGCAGUAAGCUUUCCCGCCAGAGCGCCACGGAGAUCCCGCUGCCCAUGCUGCCUCUGGCGGACACCGAGAAGCUGAUCCGCGAGAAAGACGAAGAGCUGCGCCGCAUGCAAGAGAUGUUAGAGAAGAUGCAGGCCCAGAUGCAGCAGAGCCAGGCCCAGGGCGAGCAGUCAGACACCCUUUGAGGCCACGCCCCGCCCGGCCUUACCUCGGCUCCGCCUUUAGUCGGUCUCUUGUCCAAUCCCCGCGCCCCACACUGCCCAGCGCCCCCUGGAACCCCGUGGGUGCCGCCCUCGCGCAGGCUAGGUGGGGGUUCUACCAGCCCGAGCCCGUAGCCCCGCCCCGGAGCUGGUCCCACCCACCCAGACACCGCCCACUUCCCGGCCGGAGCCUGCGGCCCAGUCUCCGACCGCCCCACUGUCUUCCGGGGUCCCCCCCCGUCUUCUCCCAGACUGUCUUCAAUAAAAACUGAGCUUCCCGCGGCCA